rnacentral:rRNA from 1 species
UGCCUCAGUAACGGCGAGUGAAGCGGCAACAGCUCAAAUUUGAAAGCUGGCUCCUUCGGGGUCCGCAUUGUAAUUUGGAGAGGAUGCUUCGGGUGCGGCCCCCGUCUAAGUGCUCUGGAACGGGCCGUCGGAGAGGGUGAGAAUCCCGUCUGGGGCGGGGAGACCCGCGCCCGUGUGAAGCUCCUUCGAAGAGUCGAGUUGUUUGGGAAUGCAGCUCUAAAUGGGUGGUAAAUUUCAUCUAAAGCUAAAUACAGGCCGGAGACCGAUAGCGCACAAGUAGAGUGAUCGAAAGAUGAAAAGCACUUUGAAAAGAGAGUUAAACAGCACGUGAAAUUGUUGAAAGGGAAGCGCUUGCGAUCAGACUCGCCCGCGGUGUUCAGCCGGCAUUCGUGCCGGUGUACUUCGCCGCGGGUGGGCCAGCGUCGGUUUGGGCGGCCGGUCAAAGGCCUCCGGAAUGUAGCGCCCUCCGGGGCGUCUUAUAGCCGGAGGUGCCAUGCGGCCAGCCCGGACCGAGGAACGCGCUUCGGCACGGACGCUGGCGUAAUGGUCGCAAGCGACCCGUCUUGAAACACGGACCAAGGAGUCUAACAUCUACGCGAGUGUUUGGGUGGCAAACCCAUGCGCGCAGUGAAAGCGAACGGAGGUGGGAACCCCCCCGCGGGGUGCACCAUCGACCGAUCCUGAUGUCCUCGGAUGGAUUUGAGUAAGAGCGUAGCUGUGGGGACCCGAAAGAUGGUGAACUAUGCCUGAAUAGGGCGAAGCCAGGGGAAACUCUGGUGGAGGCUCGCAGCGGUUCUGACGUGCAAAUCGAUCGUCAAAUUUGGGUAUAGGGGG